rnacentral:snRNA from 1 species
GGAUGUGAUCUGGCUGCGACAUCUGUCACCCCAUUGAUCGCAAGGGUUGAUUUGGCUGAUCUGGCUGACUAGAUGGGUGUCCCCUUCCUCUGGAGGGUACACGAGUUGCACUCCCCUGCUAGAACCUCCAAACAGGCUCUCAAGGUCCAGAGUCCCAGGUUCAGUCCCCAGUCCCACCAUAAGCCAGAAUUGAGCAGUGCUCUGGUCUCAGUCUCU